rnacentral:rRNA from 1 species
UUCGCCUGUUUAUCAAAAACAUCGCCAAAAAUCACUUUUGGUUGAAUCUGCCCAGUGAAUAUUUCAACGGCCGCAGUAUCCUGACUGUGCUAAGGUAGCAUAAUCAUUAGUCUUCUAAUUAAAGACUCGUAUGAAAGAUCUGACGAGAAACUUCCUAUUUUAAUAGUACUUUGAACUUAAAAAAGAGAUCAAAAUUUCUCUUCUUUCCAGGAGGACGACAAGACCCUAUAAAACUUUACUCUUAAAUAAAUCUCUUUCUAAGAAUUUCUCUUCUUUAUCUAAGAGUUAUGCUGGGGCGGCAAAUUUUAUUACCAACAAAAUUCACUUUAACAUUCUAUUUGACCUUCAUAAACACUCCUAUGCAAUAAAGAACAAGUUACUUUAGGGAUAACAGCGUUAUACUUCUUUAGAGCCCUUAUCGACAGAAGCUGAUUACGACCUCGAUGUUGAAUUGAGUCUCCUCUAUGGGGCAGUCCUUAUAGAAGGAAGUCUGUUCGACUUUUAAACCCUCACAUGAUCUGAG